UUGGCUUUACCUGAAGACGGUGCGCYAACCGCAAGGAGGCAGCCAACCACGGUCAGGUCAGCGACUGGGGUGAAGUCGUAACAAGGUAGCYGUAGGUGAACCUGCAGAAGGAUCA
rnacentral:rRNA from 1 species